rnacentral:rRNA from 1 species
AAAAACAUCGCCUCCUGCAAAAAUCCACGUAUAGGAGGUCCUACCUGCCCAGUGACUUAGUUUUUAACGGCCGCGGUAUUUUGACCGUGCAAAGGUAGCGCAAUCACUUGUCUUUUAAAUAAAGACCUGUAUGAAUGGUGAGACGAGGGCUUAACUGUCUCCCUUUUCCAAUCAAUGAAAUUGAUCUACCCGUGCAGAAGCGGGUAUAAGCAUACAAGACGAGAAGACCCUAUGGAGCUUAAGACAUAAAGUCACCCGUGCAAAUAACCCUCAAUAAAAAGAAUAAAGCUAAACAGUAACUGAUCUACGUCUUUGGUUGGGGCGACCGCGGAGAAAAAAAAAUCCUCCACGUGGAAUGGGUAACCCUAAACCACGAGACACACCUCUAAGUCACAGAACUUCUGACCAAACGAUCCGGUGUAAACCGAUCAACGAACCAAGUUACCCUAGGGAUAACAGCGCAAUCCUCUUCAAGAGUCCAUAUCGACAAGAGGGUUUACGACCUCGAUGUUGGAUCAGGACAUCCUAAUGGUGUAGCCGCUAUUAAGGGUUCGUUUGUUCAACGAUUAAAGUCCUACGUGAU